AGUGAACGCUGGCGGUAGGUCUAACACAUGCAAGUCGAACGGCAGCACAGUAAGAGCUUGCUCUUACGGGUGGCGAGUGGCGGACGGGUGAGGAAUACAUCGGAAUCUACUUUUUCGUGGGGGAUAACGUAGGGAAACUUACGCUAAUACCGCAUACGACCUACGGGUGAAAGCAGGGGAUCUUCGGACCUUGCGCGAUUGAAUGAGCCGAUGUCGGAUUAGCUAGUUGGCGGGGUAAAGGCCCACCAAGGCGACGAUCCGUAGCUGGUCUGAGAGGAUGAUCAGCCACACUGGAACUGAGACACGGUCCAGACUCCUACGGGAGGCAGCAGUGGGGAAUAUUGGACAAUGGGCGCAAGCCUGAUCCAGCUAUACCGCGUGGGUGAAGAAGGCCUUCGGGUUGUAAAGCCCUUUUGUUGGGAAAGAAAAGCAGCAGGUUAAUACCCCGCUGUUCUGACGGUACCCAAAGAAUAAGCACCGGCUAACUUCGUG
rnacentral:rRNA from 1 species